GCCAGGCACAGUGAUGCAUGCCUGUAAUCCCAGCCGCUCGGGAGGCUGAGGCUGGAGGACCGUGAGUUCAAAGCCAGCCUCAG
rnacentral:sRNA from 1 species